rnacentral:rRNA from 1 species
AUGGACGGGUUACACUUCAUGCUGCGGGCUGCUGCUGAGCGGGGUAUUCUGCCUCCCCUAGCCACUGUGGGACUUCACCACCGUAUGUCCAUAUAUGCGGACGACGUCAUGACAUUUGUGGCGCCAGACACAAGAGGGGCUGAGAGCCUGUGUCAGAAUGAUAGACGACUUUGGGAAGGCAUCUGGCUUUUGCAUAAACCUGGCCAAGUGCUCUGCACAUCUCAUCAGAUGCAGUCCGGAGCAGGUGGAUAUAGUUCCGGAGGAGCUCAAAUGCCAAAUCCUCCCAUUCCCAUGCACAUACCUUGGCCUACCCUUGGGCUACGCAAACCGUCCCCAGCUCAACUGCAGCAUUUGGUGGAUAAGGUGGCCGACAAGUUACCAAGUUGGCGAGCCUCUCUACUACACUGGAGUGGCAGAUUGGUGUUGGCGAAAACCACCUUGACAGCAAUGCCGGUGCAUGCAAUGAUGGCACUUGACCUGCCUGCCAAAACAAAGUCCCAACAAAGUCCCUACUAUAAAAUACCGCGGAAUGGCAUGUGGUGGGCCUUGAAGAAACACAAAGUCCCAACAAAGUACAUUACCCUCAUCAAGGGACAUGUACAAUAA